rnacentral:rRNA from 1 species
AACGAACGCUGGCGGCAGGCCUAACACAUGCAAGUCGAACGCCCCGCAAGGGGAGUGGCAGACGGGUGAGUAACACGUGGGAACGUACCCCAAGGUUCGGAACAACAGCGGGAAACUGCUGCUAAUACCGGAUGUGACCGAGAGGUGAAAGAUUUAUCGCCUUGGGAUCGGCCCGCGUUAGAUUAGCUAGUUGGUGGGGUAAUGGCCUACCAAGGCUACGAUCUAUAGCUGGUCUGAGAGGAUGAUCAGCCACACUGGGACUGAGACACGGCCCAGACUCCUACGGGAGGCAGCAGUGGGGAAUCUUGGACAAUGGGCGCAAGCCUGAUCCGGCCAUGCCGCGUGAAUGAUGAAGGCCUUAGGGUUGUAAAAUUCUUUCGUCGGGGACGAUAAUGACGGUACCCGAAGAAGAAGCCCCGGCUAACUUCGUGCCAGCCGCCGCAGUAA